AUGAGGCCUGGUUGCUUUGUCUAAGGUAGCAGAAAUGGCAUACGGGGCAGGAUGGCACCCAACCCCGCCUGUACUCCGGGGAUGUUCUCUGUGUCUUCUGUAAAAACUGUCACUGUUCUCUGAAGAAAGGUACCGCAAUGACUGAAAGCAUAGAAUUGUGCCUAGUGUGUCACUUCUGAUGCACCUAGAUAGCCCUAGAGAGGGUCAAGGAGACUCAACGACCUAGUGGUAAAAGUUGGUGUGAGAGUCGACCCUGCUCAGCACGUUCACGUGGUACACAAGGAUGGAAAUAUAUGCUCUGUGCCGGUUGGAAACUGGUGGGGAAGGGACCCCAGCCAGGCCUUAAGCUCACACCAUGGCCCUGUCGUCAAUAGUAGCAGAGGGAACAACGAAGUUACAUUUUCUGCCUAUAUCCUAGGACCCAGCAGGGAGCCUCGGUAUGGGAACUAGAAUAUGUAAAGUUGCACACACUGCUUUUAUUCUGCUUCUACUGGAUGGUUGUGGUCUAGACUGUCCAGCAGGGGAAACAUGGGCUAAAGGCUAAGGAGCCAGUGAUGCCCCAAUGGAUCUGAGUAUCACGAUCCCUAAAGAUGUGGACCAGGCAAAGCACCUACUAGCUGUCUGCAGACUCUCAGUGCCCAGCCUCCCACACACAAAGCAGAACAAUACGCUUGCUGGGAAAUUCCUUCAAGCCUGACUCGCUUUCUGGAAUCUGCCCUGAGUGCAGCACCAAGGACUACCCUUGCUUUCUAUCUCCUUGAAGCUCACAGGCUACCCUGCAUACCCAGGAAUGGUGGUGAAGUCAAGACCCUACAGACUGUACUUGAUUCACUUGCAAAAACUUAGUUCGAUACUCAUCUGAUCCUGACUUUGCCGGGAGACCCAGACUGAGGGAGCCAGAAGAGACAAGAAGCUUUCUUCUGCUCCUGAUGUUGGCAUCCACACUCCAGCCCCAG